GUAGUCCACGCCCUAAACUAUGUCAACUAGUUGUCGGGGAAGAAAUUCCUUGGUAACGAAGCUAACGCGUGAAGUUGACCGCCUGGGGAGUACGGCCGCAAGGUUAAAACUCAAAGGAAUUGACGGGGACCCGCACAAGCGGUGGAUUAUGUGGAUUAAUUCGAUGCAACGCGAAAAACCUUACCUACCCUUGACAUGUACGGAAUUCCGCAGAGAUGUGGAAGUGCCCGAAAGGGAACCGUAACACAGGUGCUGCAUGGCUGUCGUCAGCUCGUGUCGUGAGAUGUUGGGUUAAGUCCCGCAACGAGCGCAACCCUUGCCAUUAGUUGCUACAUUCAGUUGGGCACUCUAGUGGGACCGCCGGUGACAAACCGGAGGAAGGUGGGGAUGACGUCAAGUCCUCAUGGCCCUUAUGGGUAGGGCUUCACACGUAAUACAAUGGUCGGUACAGAGGGCAGCCAACCCGCGAGGGGGAGCUAAUCCCAGAAAGCCGAUCGUAGUCCGGAUUGUAGUCUGCAACUCGACUGCAUGAAGCCGGAAUCGCUAGUAAUCGCGGAUCAGCAUGUCGCGGUGAAUACGUUCCCGGGUCUUGUACACACCGCCCGUCACACCAUGGGAGUGGGUUCCACCAGAAGUAGGUAGCCUAACCGCAAGGGGGGCGCUUACCACGGUGAGAUUCAUGACUGGGGUG
rnacentral:rRNA from 1 species